UCGGAUCCCCGAUGCGCCACCGCCGCUCGUCGUCGUGCCGGCCAACGCCGACCACAUCCGCCACAACCACGCACUGAGUAAGCUGCGCCUUGGCCCCCUACACCGGAUCCUCACCCGCGCCCCGCCGUUCCGCCCCUGAUGCGACGCUGCGGCUAACCCUAGCUGUGGGCUCGGUCGCCGCCGCGGUUCCCGUGCCGCCGCGCCUCCUGGUGGUUCCCUACGUCGUGUCGAAGCCACGCCGCGCCCACGGAUCGGAGGAAGCCUCUCCCAAAGCUGGGAGCAGCGAUUUUGGGCCUGCGGGAGGGGAAUCAGAGGGAGCUCGCCAUGGUGGUUGGUCGUUUGGAGCAGGGGACUUAGUGUUGGCACAGGCCCAAUCCGGGGAUUUGCUACAUCUUUUGCAUAAGAGAGUUGGAUCAAGACCUAAACUAUCUGAAUUGGAGAUAGAAAAACAUAAGAUGACACUUGUGCUUGAACAAUAUCGGGUGGAAACUAAAGAACCAACAUGUGACGAUUAAGCGGCUUGAGGAGCAAAACUGCCAACUGGAACAAUAGGUUUGUUCCAAGGUCACUCGAUUUCCUGCUCUAUUUUUUAAUCGUUUUUGUUGCUUGCUCAAAUGGUGUCACUGUGUCACAAUUAAAAAUGCCAGCGGUUGAAACGAGAGUUCUUUGUAAUGUGAUCUCGAGCACACUACAUGGAGUUAUAGACUAGUUAUAUCUUAUAUUUGCUAUCUGCAUACUUGGUCGAGUAUCAUUGUGAUUGUUCACUAUCAUCACUUCAUCAUAUUAAUCCUCCUUUUUGAAAUCUGACUAUUCACUAUCACCACACUUUUAGUUACCAUGCUUCUGCAUGGCAGAUCCACGAUGCUACUGCAGUGCCCUAGAGAUUACUAUCACUAUCAUUCAUUCCUGCCAUGUAAUACCAAGCAAAUAGCCGUAACUGAAAUUGCUGGAUUGAAUAAAUUGAGUACUAUAAUGGCAGGAAUGGUUGGAUGAGGUUCAUUAGAUGCUCUACGUAGUCAAAUAGCUAGGUAGUGGAUUACUUCGUUUCUGCAGUUGGUGCUAGGUGAAAAGUGGAUUUUAUCAAGUUGUUUGUCUGCAAUUUGUUGUAGAGCUAAUAGUUUCUAGUGUGACAUGAGAUACCUAUGCAUACAUCUGUAUGUUAGGUUGUAGAGCUGUUAGAGCUUAGGGGACCUGCCUCUGAAUCUAUCUUAAUAUUUUCAUGGAAGUGAGGAAAUGUUCAACGUUAAGUGUGAAUGCUGUAAGAUCAGUCUGUCACCCUCCCCUUCCUGUUAUUUUCGCAUUUCGUUUCGUGCACAAUUGUUCUAGGAGAUCAGUCGAUUACGUAGUUGUAUCCUCAAUAUAUGAUCUUUGCACAAUCAAGAUAUAUAAAUGCACUCCUCCGCUGGAUCCAUGCCUCAGCGCCACCCUACAGCACUCAUUUCAAGAGCAUAGCUGGACAUAUUUAGCUUUUGGCCACUGCUGCAUUAUUCACUUGUGCGUUGAAUAAUGAGGAAAGAGAAUGGAGAGUUGGAGACGAAUGGUGUGGCCAAAAAAAUUUUAUAACAAUAGGACCUUGAGAUAUGUUACGACAAAGCUAAUCCGGUAUUUGCUUUGGUCCCGGAAGAUGUGAGAUUUCAUGAAGAACUAUUUGAGAAGGUGUCUUUGCUACAGCAGCUUGUACGUCCUGAAAACUUGGAUAUAAAACCAGAAUAUCAGAAUGAAGCGUCAUGGUUGCCAGUUGAAAUUGUCACACCCUGAUCACAUGCUAGUUUAAUCAACCGGACCAGCGGAAUAUAACUUUGACAUGGCUCUCCAAACUAAAGGGCACUUAUUGUUAGAUGGUGCAUCUCAUCUAUGCUCUUGCACUUGAUUCACAGUAAGUGUCGUCAUUGUAAUCCUUAUUUCUCUUGAGCCUAUAUCAGGGAUAGGGUCUUCUUAUCCCACAAAGUUUUGUAUUUCUUAGUUGGGAAAUUGAUUGGGAUGUUUGGUAGCUGCCUUUUAUAUAAUCAUCAACAUUUUCAUCAAUUGUUGUAACAAAAAUAAACCAAAUAUUUGCAAUUUAUCUCUUCUCCUCGGCCCUGUGGUGUACCUGUCACAUAUUGAGUAUGUUUGUUCCAUGCUCACUCCAACUGUUCUUCCUCAUGCAAUUUCUCAUACUUUGUAAUAUUGGAUAUUAACAAGUAUAGCAAUGUGAGUAUGUGACAAUCAAAUCUACAAAUGUUUAAUUUUAAAUCUCAACAAAACUAUUUGUCCACAUAACUGCUACCAACAGUCCAACAUUGCUUUUAUUAUCUUUCAAAAGUAACUUGGAUUGAUAGACUACUAAGCAUAAAAUGUCCACGAUUUGUUCUUACAAUAAGGCAUGUUGACGAGGAUGAUCCAGUCCCAAUUGGUUCACCAGGAGAUACACAAUCGGUCGUGGCUUCUGACAUUGAACAGGUAAGCUCAGGGUUCUUUUCCUAAUAUGUUCAUUUCCUAAUACACAAAUAAGUGCAUCAGGAAGUGCACUUGAGAAGAAGUUGAAAGCAGUUGCAUCUACUGCUAAGAAGAGGAAGGGUGGAAGUCAGAAAGUUACUGCUUAGAUACUGUCAUCAAAUUACUGCAUAGUUACAUCAAAACUGCUUAGAUACUGUCUUAUGCAUCUGUGGAAGACAAUGCCUCCAAAACUGCAAAGUUAUGCAUCUGUGCAUGUUAGUACUGUAAUGUGACCACUGUGAUUUGUUAUUAGUACUGUAAUAUGACUUAUACCUUAA